UCUGGAGAAGCACGAAUCAUUGUGUUCACUACUAAUCACAAAGAAGUUUUGGACCCUGCAUUACUUCGUCCUGGGCGAAUGGAUAUGCACAUUCACAUGUCCUACUGCACUACUCAAGGCUUCAGAGUUUUGGCUUUGAACUAUCUUGGAAUUCAUGACCACAAACUCUACCAAGAAAUUGAUGGAUUAGUGGAGAGUACAAAGGUUACCCCUGCUUCUUUAGCUGAGGAGCUAAUGAAGAGUGAUGAUGCUAAUGUUGCUCUUAGAGAAGUUGUCAAUUUCCUUAAGAGAAAAAAGGGGGAAGAAGAUCAAAUUGAAGAAGAAAAUAAAAGACAGAGAACUGUUUGAUAAAAAUAUAAUAAUAGUAAUCCUGGCUAAAUUAGAAUGAGACUAUCAGCUUACUACUUUUUUUCUUCGUUUUGGUCAUGAUGCCUUAGAUCGAAUGAUUUGCAGAAAUUUUA
rnacentral:misc_RNA from 1 species